GUACUGACGAAGAGUCCCAAACUUGGACGAAACAGCUGUCCAGUAC
rfam:Trichobilharzia regenti genome assembly, scaffold: TRE_scaffold0062634